AGAUACUUCGGCGAGAUGUACAAGUUUUGGACCAUAUUUUAACAAUGGAAAUCAAAACCCAUUUUAUAUUGAACUUGCCCAGACCGAAAAUUACUACGGCGAACGCCUGCGCAACCAGGCCUCCUAAAACCAUUGGGAUUUACGGGGGGGAGGGGAAGAACGCCGCCUGCCCACUUCCCGCUUUUUGGAAUUUGCAUGCUGUGCAAUGGGAAACAUCAUAUUGUCGUGCAUAUAUCACGUAUUUUAUAAUAAGAAAUGUAUUUAAAACAAUUUAUGAUGUCUAUAUAUCAUAUUUCAAAUUAUCCUUUUAUAUAACGAUCAUAUUUCGACUAAGGAAAAAUCGAAAAAUAAUAUAUAUAUAGACAUCAUAAAUUGUUUUAAAUACAUUUCUUAUUAUAACAUACGUGAUAUA